rnacentral:rRNA from 1 species
UACGGAGGAUCCGAGCGUUAUCCGGAUUUAUUGGGUUUAAAGGGUGCGCAGGCGGGAGAUUAAGUCGGCGGUGAAAUUUUGCAGCUCAACUGUAAAAGUGCCUUCGAAACUGGUUUCCUUGAGUGUGGAUGAAGUAGGCGGAAUUUGUGGUGUAGCGGUGAAAUGCUUAGAGAUCACACAGAAUAUCGAUUGCGAAGGCAGCUCACAAAGCCAAGAUUGACGCUGAGGCACGAAAGUGUGGGGAUCAAACAGGAUUAGAUA